rfam:Planomicrobium sp. ES2 genome assembly, contig: CONTIG000001
UCUGGUAGUAAUGGCAAAGAGGCCACACCCGUUCCCAUCCCGAACACGGAAGUUAAGCUCUUUUGCGCCGAUGGUAGUUGGGGGGCUCCCCCUGUGAGAGUAGGACGUUGCCAGGC